rnacentral:rRNA from 1 species
AGUGAACGCUGGCGGUAGGCCUAACACAUGCAAGUCGAACGGCAGCACAGUAAGAGCUUGCUCUUACGGGUGGCGAGUGGCGGACGGGUGAGGAAUACAUCGGAAUCUACUUUUUCGUGGGUGAUAACUUAGGGAAACUUACGCUAAUACCGCAUACGACCUACGGGUGAAAGCAGGGGAUCUUCGGACCUUGCGCGAUUGAAUGAGCCGAUGUCGGAUUAGCUAGUUGUCGGGGUAAAGGCCCACCAAGGCGACGAUCCGUAGCUGGUCUGAGAGGAUGAUCAGCCACACUGGGACUGAAACACGGUCCAGACUCCUACGGGAAGCAGCAGUGGGGAAUAUUGGACAAUGGGCGCAAGCAUGAUCCAGCCAUACCGCGUGGGUGAAGAAGGCAUUCGGGUUGUAAAGCCCUUUUGUUGGGAAAGAAAAGCAGCAGGUUAAUACCCCGAUGUUCUGACGGUACCCAAAGAAUAAGCACCGGCUAACUUCGUG